GGAUAACUCCCGGGAAACCGGGGCUAAUACCGGAUGGUUGUUUGAACCGCAUGGUUCAGACAUAAAAGGUGGCUUCGGCUACCACUUACAGAUGGACCCGCGGCGCAUUAGCUAGUUGGUGAGGUAACGGCUCACCAAGGCAACGAUGCGUAGCCGACCUGAGAGGGUGAUCGGCCACACUGGGACUGAGACACGGCCCAGACUCCUACGGGAGGCAGCAGUAGGGAAUCUUCCGCAAUGGACGAAAGUCUGACGGAGCAACGCCGCGUGAGUGAUGAAGGUUUUCGGAUCGUAAAGCUCUGUUGUUAGGGAAGAACAAGUGCCGUUCAAAUAGGGCGGCACCUUGACGGUACCUAACCAGAAAGCCACGGCUAACUACGUGCCAGCAGCCGCGGUAAUACGUAGGUGGCAAGCGUUGUCCGGAAUUAUUGGGCGUAAAGGGCUCGCAGGCGGUUUCUUAANUCUGAUGUGAAAGCCCCCGGCUCAACCGGGGAGGGUCAUUGGAAACUGGGGAACUUGAGUGCAGAAGAGGAGAGUGGAAUUCCACGUGUAGCGGUGAAAUGCGUAGAGAUGUGGAGGAACACCAGUGGCGAAGGCGACUCUCUGGUCUGUAACUGACGCUGAGGAGCGAAAGCGUGGGGAGCGAACAGGAUUAGAUACCCUGGUAGUCCACGCCGUAAACGAUGAGUGCUAAGUGUUAGGGGGUUUCCGCCCCUUAGUGCUGCAGCUAACGCAUUAAGCACUCCGCCUGGGGAGUACGGUCGCAAGACUGAAACUCAAAGGAAUUGACGGGGGCCCGCACNAGCGGUGGAGCAUGUNGUUUAAUUNGAAGCAACGCGAAGAACCUUACCAGGUCUUGACAUCCUNUGACAAUCCUAGAGAUAGGACGUCCCCUUCGGGGGCAGAGUGACAGGUGGUGCAUGGUUGUNGUCAGCUCGUGUCGUGAGAUGUUGGGUUAAGUCCCGCAACGAGCGCAACCCUUGAUNUUAGUUGCCAGCAUUCAGUUGGGCACUNUAAGGUGACUGCCGGUGACAAACCGGAGGAAGGUGGGGAUGACGUCAAAUCAUCAUGCCCCUUAUGACCUGGGCUACACACGUGCUACAAUGGNCAGAACAAAGGGCAGCGAAACCGCGAGGUUAAGCCAAUCCCACAAAUCUGUUNUCAGUUCGGAUCGCAGUNUGCAACUNGACUGCGUGAAGCGGAAUCGCUNGUAAUCGCGGAUCCAGCCAUGCCGCGGUGGAAU
rnacentral:rRNA from 1 species